GUUGGGUGACUGCGUACCUUUUGUAUAAUGGGUCAGCGACUUAUAUUCUGUAGCAAGGUUAACCGUAUAGGGGAGCCGCAGGGAAACCGAGUCUUAACUGGGCGUUAAGUUGCAGGGUAUAGACCCGAAACCCGGUGAUCUAGCCAUGGGCAGGUUGAAGGUUGGGUAACACUAACUGGAGGACCGAACCGACUAAUGUUGAAAAAUUAGCGGAUGACUUGUGGCUGGGGGUGAAAGGCCAAUCAAACCGGGAGAUAGCUGGUUCUCCCCGAAAGCUAUUUAGGUAGCGCCUCGUGAACUCAUCUUCGGGGGUAGAGCACUGUUUCGGCUAGGGGGUCAUCCCGACUUACCAACCCGAUGCAAACUACGAAUACCGAAGAAUGUUAUCACGGGAGACACACGGCGGGUGCUAACGUCCGUCGUGAAGAGGGAAACAACCCAGACCGCCAGCUAAGGUCCCAAAGUCAUGGUUAAGUGGGAAACGAUGUGGGAAGGCCCAGACAGCCAGGAUGUUGGCUUAGAAGCAGCCAUCAUUUAAAGAAAGCGUAAUAGCUCACUGGUCGAGUCGGCCUGCGCGGAAGAUGUAACGGGGCUAAACCAUGCACCGAAGCUGCGGCAGCGACACUAUGUGUUGUUGGGUAGGGGAGCGUUCUGUAAGCCGUUGAAGGUGGCCUGUGAGGGUUGCUGGAGGUAUCAGAAGUGCGAAUGCUGACAUAAGUAACGAUAAUGCGGGUGAAAAACCCGCACGCCGGAAGACCAAGGGUUCCUGUCCAACGUUAAUCGGGGCAGGGUGAGUCGACCCCUAAGGCGAGGCCGAAAGGCGUAGUCGAUGGGAAACAGGUUAAUAUUCCUGUACUCGGUGUUACUGCGAAGGGGGGACGGAGAAGGCUAUGUUGGCCGGGCGACGGUUGUCCCGGUUUAAGCAUGUAGGCGGAUGUUCCAGGUAAAUCCGGAACGUUA
rnacentral:rRNA from 1 species